rnacentral:misc_RNA from 1 species
AAGUCGUAACAAGGUCUCCGUAGGUGAACCUGCGGAGGGAUCAUUACAAGCAUUAUUGCUCAACCCUGUCUACUCUCUUGUUGCUUAGGAGGCGCCCCUCGGGAGGGGAUUUGCUUCGGCCGCCUCCGAAAGCACCCAAAUUAUCGUCUGUGGAAUUCUGAAGCAUAUAAAACAUUAAAACCUCAACAACGGAUCUCUUGGUUACA